CCCGCCACUAUUCUCGUCUUUUUCGUGACUGAGUAUAAUCCAGUGGAGGCUAAGAGAGACCCAGCUCUAGGAAGCAGGGCUGCCCCAACACAAUGGGCGACUCUGCGCCGAAAGGUCUGGAACAAGC